AGCGUACACGGUGGAUGCCCUGGCAGUCAGAGGCGAUGAAGGACGUGCUAAUCUGCGAUAAGCGUCGGUAAGGUGAUAUGAACCGUUAUAACCGGCGAUUUCCGAAUGGGGAAACCCAGUGUGUUUCGACACACUAUCAUUAACUGAAUCCAUAGGUUAAUGAGGCGAACCGGGGGAACUGAAACAUCUAAGUACCCCGAGGAAAAGAAAUCAACCGAGAUUCCCCCAGUAGCGGCGAGCGAACGGGGAGCAGCCCAGAGCCUGAAUCAGUGUGUGUGUUAGUGGAAGCGUCUGGAAAGGCGCGCGAUACAGGGUGACAGCCCCGUACACAAAAAUGCACAUGCUGUGAGCUCGAUGAGUAGGGCGGGACACGUGGUAUCCUGUCUGAAUAUGGGGGGACCAUCCUCCAAGGCUAAAUACUCCUGACUGACCGAUAGUGAACCAGUACCGUGAGGGAAAGGCGAAAAGAACCCCGGCGAGGGGAGUGAAAAAGAACCUGAAACCGUGUACGUACAAGCAGUGGGAGCACGCUUAGGCGUGUGACUGCGUACCUUUUGUAUAAUGGGUCAGCGACUUAUAUUCUGUAGCAAGGUUAACCGAAUAGGGGAGCCGAAGGGAAACCGAGUCUUAACUGGGCGUUAAGUUGCAGGGUAUAGACCCGAAACCCGGUGAUCUAGCCAUGGGCAGGUUGAAGGUUGGGUAACACUAACUGGAGGACCGAACCGACUAAUGUUGAAAAAUUAGCGGAUGACUUGUGGCUGGGGGUGAAAGGCCAAUCAAACCGGGAGAUAGCUGGUUCUCCCCGAAAGCUAUUUAGGUAGCGCCUCGUGAAUUCAUCUCCGGGGGUAGAGCACUGUUUCGGCAAGGGGGUCAUCCCGACUUACCAACCCGAUGCAAACUGCGAAUACCGGAGAAUGUUAUCACGGGAGACACACGGCGGGUGCUAACGUCCGUCGUGAAGAGGGAAACAACCCAGACCGCCAGCUAAGGUCCCAAAGUCAUGGUUAAGUGGGAAACGAUGUGGGAAGGCCCAGACAGCCAGGAUGUUGGCUUAGAAGCAGCCAUCAUUUAAAGAAAGCGUAAUAGCUCACUGGUCGAGUCGGCCUGCGCGGAAGAUGUAACGGGGCUAAACCAUGCACCGAAGCUGCGGCAGCGACGCUGAUGCGUUGUUGGGUAGGGGAGCGUUCUGUAAGCCUGCGAAGGUGUGCUGUGAGGCAUGCUGGAGGUAUCAGAAGUGCGAAUGCUGACAUAAGUAACGAUAAAGCGGGUGAAAAGCCCGCUCGCCGGAAGACCAAGGGUUCCUGUCCAACGUUAAUCGGGGCAGGGUGAGUCGACCCCUAAGGCGAGGCCGAAAGGCGUAGUCGAUGGGAAACAGGUUAAUAUUCCUGUACUUGGUGUUACUGCGAAGGGGGGACGGAGAAGGCUAUGUUGGCCGGGCGACGGUUGUCCCGGUUUAAGCGUGUAGGCUGGUUUUCCAGGCAAAUCCGGAAAAUCAAGGCUGAGGCGUGAUGACGAGGCACUACGGUGCUGAAGCAACAAAUGCCCUGCUUCCAGGAAAAGCCUCUAAGCAUCAGGUAACAUCAAAUCGUACCCCAAACCGACACAGGUGGUCAGGUAGAGAAUACCAAGGCGCUUGAGAGAACUCGGGUGAAGGAACUAGGCAAAAUGGUGCCGUAACUUCGGGAGAAGGCACGCUGAUAUGUAGGUGAAGUCCCUCGCGGAUGGAGCUGAAAUCAGUCGAAGAUACCAGCUGGCUGCAACUGUUUAUUAAAAACACAGCACUGUGCAAACACGAAAGUGGACGUAUACGGUGUGACGCCUGCCCGGUGCCGGAAGGUUAAUUGAUGGGGUUAGCGCAAGCGAAGCUCUUGAUCGAAGCCCCGGUAAACGGCGGCCGUAACUAUAACGGUCCUAAGGUAGCGAAAUUCCUUGUCGGGUAAGUUCCGACCUGCACGAAUGGCGUAAUGAUGGCCAGGCUGUCUCCACCCGAGACUCAGUGAAAUUGAACUCGCUGUGAAGAUGCAGUGUACCCGCGGCAAGACGGAAAGACCCCGUGAACCUUUACUAUAGCUUGACACUGAACAUUGAGCCUUGAUGUGUAGGAUAGGUGGGAGGCUUAGAAGUGUGGACGCCAGUCUGCAUGGAGCCGACCUUGAAAUACCACCCUUUAAUGUUUGAUGUUCUAACGUUGACCCGUAAUCCGGGUUGCGGACAGUGUCUGGUGGGUAGUUUGACUGGGGCGGUCUCCUCCUAAAGAGUAACGGAGGAGCACGAAGGUUGGCUAAUCCUGGUCGGACAUCAGGAGGUUAGUGCAAUGGCAUAAGCCAGCUUGACUGCGAGCGUGACGGCGCGAGCAGGUGCGAAAGCAGGUCAUAGUGAUCCGGUGGUUCUGAAUGGAAGGGCCAUCGCUCAACGGAUAAAAGGUACUCCGGGGAUAACAGGCUGAUACCGCCCAAGAGUUCAUAUCGACGGCGGUGUUUGGCACCUCGAUGUCGGCUCAUCACAUCCUGGGGCUGAAGUAGGUCCCAAGGGUAUGGCUGUUCGCCAUUUAAAGUGGUACGCGAGCUGGGUUUAGAACGUCGUGAGACAGUUCGGUCCCUAUCUGCCGUGGGCGCUGGAGAACUGAGGGGGGCUGCUCCUAGUACGAGAGGACCGGAGUGGACGCAUCACUGGUGUUCGGGUUGUCAUGCCAAUGGCACUGCCCGGUAGCUAAAUGCGGAAGAGAUAAGUGCUGAAAGCAUCUAAGCACGAAACUUGCCCCGAGAUGAGUUCUCCCUGACUCCUUGA
rnacentral:rRNA from 1 species